CAAAAGGAAAAAAAUGUAAAACGCUCUCAGGCGAUGUUCUCGAGGAGUUACAGAGGCUUUUUCCCAAUCCAGCGCCUCCAUCUCUCUUCCGUGACUCCGUGCUUCUCUUCAGAAGAAGCACAAAAUAGUUCAACCUUGGAAGCAAUGGUGUUGCGGUGUCUAGCAAUCAAGACCAUGUCUUUCCUCUGGAUGCAAUCGCUACAGGUGAUGCACCAUGCUUAAAACGUGCAGGUCUACCUUGUGGAGGUGGUGAGCACCGAACCAUGGAGAACAUAAAAUCAGGGGAGAUGUAGACAACUGGUCGAGCGUCGUUGAAGCUAACUUUAGCAUGCUGAGAAUUGGAAAAAAAUGUAGUGAAGUUAAAGGUUGGGGAGACAUCAUCGGAAGGCAGCAACACCCAUGGUGGGUGUUGAGUGGAGUCAACCAUUAGUGAUUGGGUCUUGUAUUAUACUAUGGAAGCUUAGGAUCUAUUUUCUAAAUGUCUACGAGUUUUUUGUAAAACGGGUAACAUAAAAUUUAGCUAGAG